rnacentral:rRNA from 1 species
AUGCAUUGAGCUAACCAGUACUAAUGAUCCGUGAGGCUUAACCUUACAACACCGAAGGUGUU